ensembl:lncRNA
CUCCUUUUCUUUUCCUUUUUUAAAAAAAGUGUUCAGCAAAACAAGCUUAGACGGAACAGAGUGAGGUGUCUAGGCUCAGGAGUAAAAGAAACACCUUCCUUCCCUCACAUCCGUUUGUGGUUUGUUUAAGAAGAAGAGGAGAAAAAAAAAAAAAGAGGGGGGAAAAGCGCUCAACUCUCCCCCAAGCCGCGGCGCGCACCCGUCGGCGCCGAGCGCGCAGCCUGCUCCGCCGCCGCCUCUCGGUCCCGCCGCCGCCGCCGCCGCCGCCGGGCAGGUAACUUCAUGCGCUCAUUGUCCCCCCGCCCGCCCCCCCCAUCCCCGCCUCCCGCGCCCCUCGCCGCCCGGCACACGCGCUCGGGCUCUAGCUGGACGCCCUAGAGUGCUCUUGGCGGUCCACGAAAAACCUGGAGUCAGCCUCCCCAUUUCUCCGGUCGUAACAGAAAUACAGCUUUCUUCCUGCCUUCAAGACUGACAUGGUGGAGGUUGGGUUGCAAAGAAGAAGCAGGAAGAAAAAAAAUCUUCUAUACAUUCACAAGUCCUUCAAGGAACAAAAUAAAAGAAACAGAAAAUGUGUCCUUUCUCCUAAUAAAGGUCUUUUUGAUAAAAUUUAAAUGAAGUUUUGUGUUUCAUAACAUCAGCUUUCCAAAUACUAUUGUAGAUGCUAAAAUGUACCUAUAUGUAUUCCUUCCACAAUAAUAAUAAUAACAAACUUUUUAGGUCCAAAUUAAGCAUUUCUCAGCUUAAAUUUCUAUCCUCAAUCCAAUAUUUAUUAUAUCAUUUUAAAACUUGAUUAAAAAAAACAUCAUUGAUGUUUACUUGAUGACCUUGUGAACAUCAGGAAGAUGAAAUGAAAUGAAAUGGUUCAAGGCUGGAACAAUACCAUUAUCUGCAUCUUGACACUGAGGAGAUAAUGAUACCUCUUGCUUUGGUCUACAGACCUACCACCUUUCUCUCCCUUGAGGGAAAAUCCAAAUACAUGGGACCUGUGCAUUCCUCUACAUAAUUAGGAGCCUGGUUUCUCCCAUAGGAGUGUAUGGAGUCAGAGUGGUAUUCUGUACAUGGCAUGGUGUGAUCCGUGGGAAUAUGAGGUACUGGGGAAAAAGUUCUUACUUCCAGCCACUUACACAAAGAGACGCCAUCUCAGUGUCAUCUGAAAAAUUUCUCGCUUUAUAAUGCUCUAUAAGGCCCAUCAUAAACUGAAUGGAUGUAUUUCUACCAAAAGUUGGGGAAAGUUGAAUAUCUAAACCUCUGAGUAAAUCUUCUUAAUUUGGAAAAUAAAAUGGUAGAGUGGCAUUGUAAUACUUUUCAGUUUCCUGGACUAUCAACUCCACAUCAUAGCUAAAUAAAAUACUUAUUUGUCCAUUCAUUCGUUCAUUUGUACAUGAAUCAACAGACAGAGUGGUGAAAAACACUAAUGCUAAAAUACAAAAACAAAUUAUUUAAAAUGGUUCCUGCUCUAGAUGUAAUCUUUCAGAGUAGUGUUUUCCAACCUAGUCUGGUCAGUGAAGUCGUCUUAGCAGUUUAGAAAAAUACUCAAGCCAGAGACCCACCCACAUAGAUUCUGAUUCAGUUCUUUUUGAAUGGGGCCUGGGCAUAGAAAUUUUUAAAAGUUCUCCUGUGGCUUUAGGCUGGGAGUGGUGGUUCAUGCUUGUAAUCCCAGCACUUCGGGAGGCCAAGACUGGCAGAUCACGAGGUCAGAAGAUUAAGACCAUUUUGGCUAACACAGUGAAACCCCAUCUCUACUAAAAAUAUAAAAAAUUAGCCAGGUGUAGUGGCACACUCCUGUUGUCCCAGCUACUUGGGAGGCUGAGACAGGAGAGUUGCUUGAACCUGGGAGGUGAAAGAUUGUGCCACUGUACUCCAGAGUGGGCAGCAGAGCGAGACUUUGUCUCAAAAAAAAAAAAAAAAAAAAAAGAAAAAGAAAAAAAUAGUCUCAAUUGGCUUUAAUUUUCAGAAAAGAUUAAGAACCACUGGCCUAAAAGGAAAGAAAAGGUAGUCUAAAGGAAAGGUUCCUUAACAAAGGAAAUGUUAAAAGCAUGAUAUUUUAGUGGAUAGGCUUGUCACUUUGUGUUGGACCCCAUAAGAGGACAUCGAGGAUCACCACUCCCAAAUGUGAACAGUCCAGGAAAGUGCGGGACAUCACCUACUCUGUCUUUUAGAGAUGGAGUUGGCAAUUUGCCCAUUCACUCUUAGUAAACAUGCAUGAAUUGUAAAGGUCCAGGUUACAGUUUAUUCAUCUGACCUAGGAACUUUAUAUACUCUAGUUACCAGAAAAUGAGUGCCCGUAAACAGAACAUCAUUUUACUAAUGCCUAUAUAAUGCUAUCAAUACUUCCUUGUGAAAUUCCUCCUAUGUCCUAGACCUGGUCCUAAUUUCUUUACAUUAUGUUGCUAUCUCAUUUAAUUUUCUGAAUUACUUUGGAAAGCCUCAUCAGUACUUACAAACCACACGGAAUAUUUCAUUUUGUUGCCUCAACAUUGCCCAUCUUCAUUUUAAUUAUAGUUUCACAAAUUGUUAUGUUUUCAAAUGUAUACUUGUUUUCGGUGACCACAUUUUAUGUCUACUGAUUCUUUGUAUUAUGUAGGUAAAGUCCUAAAUCUUGUAGUAAUGUCUUCAAAUCAUAUACAGAAUGUGUUACUUUGGGGGAAAUAGCUUCUAGACAGUUAAUCCUAUAUGUGAUUUACAAGAGUCUUGUAAAAAUUAUUCAACAGACCAUAGUAUUUCCUGGCAGGCAUUUUUUGUUAGAUUUUUGGAGUUAGUUUUUCUUCAAGGGUUGAAGCCCUCUAUAGAUGUACAUGAGAAUGAAAUGUCAUAUAGAGGGGUUGAUUUUGAAAUGUCAGAUAUUAAAACUAAAAUCAAAGCAUGCCAUAUUGUAUAACUAAAUUAAUAUUUAGCCCUUCACUGGCCUUUCUGACUUACGGGCUAGAUUUCCAGUGACAGCUGAUGUCGCAAUAUUUCUAGGGAAAAGAAAGCCUCAUUCUUUUAAAAUACCAUUCAUUUUACACCUCAUAUGGCCCAGCUAGGAUUUUAAGGCCUCAUUAGACAUGUGUAUACCCAACAAGGUUACGGGGUGAAGAAGCUGUUUGUUUCCUUAGAAUCUAGCCAAUCCGGAGUGCUACACAUUUGAGAUUCAAAAAGACAACAUUAAUGGUUUUGAUGGGAAAUGUUUACAUGUUCUCAAUUCACCAGUUGGAAUUUACUGUUGUCCAGGGUUAUUUAACGUUUUUCUAAAGUAAUUUAAAUUCAAAAGGGAAUUAUAUGCAAUAAAUAAUAUCUUUCAAUGGAAGAAUGCAGAGUACUGAAGUUUUCUUUCCUGGGGAGACUAGUAAGAAAUGACUAGACUGUAAGUCUUUCAACCAGAAAAUAAAGGAUUUCAGAAUGAUGAGGAAAGUUUGAAGGAAAUAAUACAGGUCCAUAGAGAGCUCAUAUCGUACUAAAUGACUCAUAAAAUGCAAUAUUUUUUACAUAAUUUGGAAAGUGUGCCAUGCUUGUACAUUUCACCAUUGAGUGUGGUACAGUACUUUGAUCUUCAACAACACACAUUUGUGACAUAAUAGCCAUAAUAGCACUAUUCAGCUAUUUUACAUGGCAAUAAUCCAGUCCUCUCUCAUCAGGAUAAACUGUGAGGACAAAUCCUUUCAAAAUCAGAAUUAGUUCCUUGAAGAAGAGUGAGGCUACAAUUAUCCCUUAAAUAGGAGCAGC